rnacentral:tRNA from 3 species
GCCAAGGUGGCGGAGUGGGCAAUCGCAUCAGACUGUAAAUCUGACGCCCGAAAGGGCUACCCAGGUUCGAAUCCUGGCCUUGGCA